GACGAACGCUGGCGGCGUGCUUAACACAUGCAAGUCGAACGGAAAGGCCCUGCUUUUGUGGGGUGCUCGAGUGGCGAACGGGUGAGUAACACGUGAGUAACCUGCCCUUGACUUUGGGAUAACUUCAGGAAACUGGGGCUAAUACCGGAUAGGAGCUCCUGCUGCAUGGUGGGGGUUGGAAAGUUUCGGCGGUUGGGGAUGGACUCGCGGCUUAUCAGCUUGUUGGCGGGGUAGUGGCUUACCAAGGCUUUGACGGGUAGCCGGCCUGAGAGGGUGACCGGCCAAAUGGGGCCGGAAGGAGGGCCGAGACCCUAGCGGGGGGAAGGAGGGGGGAAUGUGGAAAAAGGGGGGGACGCAUGAUGGAGAAACCCCGGGUGCGGGAGGACGGCCUUCGGGUGGGAAACAGCUUUCGCCUGUGAGGAAGGAGGAGGAAGGUAAAGGGGGAAAAAGGCCCGGCUAAAUCAGGG
rnacentral:rRNA from 1 species